rnacentral:rRNA from 1 species
GACGAACCGUGCGAACGUUAUUCGGAAUCACUGGGCUUAAAGGGCGCGUAGGCGGGUCGUCAAGUCAGGGGUGAAAUCCUGCGGCUCAACCGCAGAAGUGCCUUUGAUACUGACGGUCUCGAGGGAGGUAGGGGCGUGUGGAACUUCCGGUGGAGCGGUGAAAUGCGUAGAUAUCGGAAGGAACGCCGGUGGCGAAAGCGACGCGCUGGACCUCUUCUGACGCUGAGGCGCGAAAGCCAGGGGAGCAAACGGG